GAUGAACGCUGGCGGCGUGCCUAAUACAUGCAAGUCGAGCGAAUGGAUUAAGAGCUUGCUCUUAUGAAGUUAGCGGCGGACGGGUGAGUAACACGUGGGUAACCUGCCCAUAAGACUGGGAUAACUCCGGGAAACCGGGGCUAAUACCGGAUAACAUUUUGAACCGCAUGGUUCGAAAUUGAAAGGCGGCUUCGGCUGUCACUUAUGGAUGGACCCGCGUCGCAUUAGCUAGUUGGUGAGGUAACGGCUCACCAAGGCAACGAUGCGUAGCCAACCUGAGAGGGUGAUCGGCCACACUGGGACUGAAACACGGCCCAGACUCCUACGGGAGGCAGCAGUAGGGAAUCUUCCGCAAUGGACGAAAGUCUGACGGAGCAACGCCGCGUGAGUGAUGAAGGCUUUCGGGUCGUAAAACUCUGUUGUUAGGGAAGAACAAGUGCUAGUUGAAUAAGCUGGCACCUUGACGGUACCUAACCAGAAAGCCACGGCUAACUACGUGCCAGCAGCCGCUGUAA
rnacentral:rRNA from 1 species